rnacentral:sRNA from 1 species
ACUGGAAAAUCUAGAAAAUAUAUGAUUUUAUAGACAGAUGACAUAUACCAAAGUUAAAUCAAGUUAACUUUGAUAAAUUUCAUAAACUAUCUAACCACUCCCAAAACAUCUAAGGAAAUAGGAGUGGUCACUAAAACGCUCCCAACCAAAAAAACCCAGCACAUAUGAGGACACUAAUUCCCUAAUCUGGAAGGAGACUGUACAAGAUGCGUUUGAGACGUGAAAGACAGGCAAUUUAGAUUCAAUCCUAUCACUUCCAGAUAUCUAGAAACAUUUUCAUUCACAUGUCUGUGAAAGAAAAGUUACCGCAAAGAGUAUGUUCCCACUCACUUUAAUGAAAUGUGAACAUUGUUUAGUAUACCUGCCCAAAUUAAGGAACUCUUCAGCCACAGGCUGGCACAUUUGCCUAAAACUAUGGUUACUACCAUUAUUGUGAAAGAAGCAGAGAUUUAACGCUGAGUCUGAAUCUUAAACUCACAUAAUCCCAUGACAUUGAGGCUCUCCUCAACGGAGCACCAGAACCUUGCAUUUUUAUUACAUGUGUGAAACAGUAGCAGGUUCUACUCCUGAACCAACCUGGAGUAUGGUUGGAAAACCCCACUGCCAACAAUCCUGAUAAUGUCUUACCUGAUGUUGACACAAACAUGCUCAUAAAUGAUUGUAUGAGGAACCCAACAAAGUGUAAGUAAUCUAUCUAGACAAAAUGGAAACUCCCACAUUCUAUGAAAGGUUCUGAUGCAAUGUUCCACAUGGAUAGUAACACCUUCAUUUAACAUGGAACCAGGUAAAAAGAGUUUUUGGCAGUUAUUGAAAAUGAAAUGAUUUGGAUACAAGAUUUAGAGACUGAGUACAUGGUGAAAAUGAAGACGUGUCAUCACAUAACAGGAAAGUCAUUAUGCUUUUGAUAGUGUUUGGACUUGCUAUAAUCUAUAGGGAGAGAGGUCUCCUCACAGCUUCCAGAAGGUCAUUAAAAGUAAAGAAUAACUUUUGGCUUUCCUAGUAAAUAUUUAUCUUCCUCCAUGUGUUCCUUGGUUUCAAAGCUGAGAGUAUCAACGUAAUGUCUACCUUGGGGCCAGGGGUUAAAAGGGCACUGAACUGUCUGCCCCAAAGUGGCCCAAAGAAUAGUGGGAUGUACUGACAUUCUGCUGACAUACUGUGUCCCCAUGUUGCAUGAGAGUCCAUGGUAUAACCAUGAGAAAAUUGAAGAUGUAAAAAAAAUUAAAGGCGAACUUGCGCCCAUAGGUUGGUGGUGGACAUUAUAGAAAAGAAUAGCUCUGUCAGAAAUUAGUGUCAGGACUGUGGUAACUAACCUUUACCAGGCUCCCUGACUGGAGAUCACAAUACUGAGUUGCUCACACUAAGAUAUGUUGUAGCUAGACUUGAUAGGCUGGCCCUGUAUUUCAAAGCAAUCUCUCAUGUUUGUAGUAAUGUAAAUCAAAAUCAGUGAUACUUCUUUCAGAAGUAGGCAUUUAUGAGGGGAAAAAAGUAUGGUCAAGUCUGGGAAACUAAAUUCACUGAUACCUGCUGGAGAGAGGAAGCUAAGAUUACAUGAUUUUUUUUUUUUUUAGUAAAGCCUUUUGUGUGGGAAGCUGCCUUUUCCAAAACACUGAAAAUUCCCAAAAAAUAGCUAAAAUUUCCUCCAGAUACUGUUUCAAACUUUUAAUGACUCCCUCAAGAUUGUUUCUUGCAAUAGCUGAAUAUUCAUAAUCAAAACUAGCCAAUUAAAGGUGAAUGAACAAUGUAUGGAAGAAAACCGUCAAUGUGCAUGCAGACUUUAAAACUUUGGACACGUGCAAAUAAACAAAAGGACAUUACUUAAACAGUACAAAACACCCUAACCCUAUUCACUGAACUAUCUCAGAGAUCUACUGGGCUUUUGACAUCCUCAAUAUACCCCCAGUCCCCAUUUUGUGCUUUGUCAUUGUGAUGCUGUUCAAGGGAGUAAUCAAAGGUAAUGAAAACAAUGUUGAAACGGUUUACAUGAUUCUAUCACUCCUGUGUGAUUAGGCAGGAUUUUACCAUGGCUUCUGCAGACCCUUGGCAAGAAGGCAGAAGGCCGAGAUGACAGUGUCUAAGGGACUCCUUCAGGCACCUAAGAACCCAUGAAAAUCGAGGUUUUACUAGAUCUGAGGCCUUUUCAUCCUCUAUCUAUCCUUGUUAGCUACAUUAUGAAUACAGGAUCAUGGUCUAAGCCCCAACUACCUCGGGCCUGGGCCUGGGAAUUCAGGAAGGUAGAUAAUGGUGAAUGCAUAGCUGAUGAGGCCACAGAGCAGCAAUUGUCAGUGCCUGUUCAACUCUCUUCACUGAUGUCUCCAUUAAUCCUGUGGUUGUAUGUGAGAUUGUUAGGAUGUGGGCCUUUACCUUUUAAGAAUUGACAGAAUGAUAACAAUUUGAUAUUUGCCCUAUACCUGAUCACCUAUAUUGCCAGGAUAAGGGAGUUUUCAUUGUACAAAAUGGGAUCAUAAGACAGAGAUUUCAUGAAAACCCAUGGUGAAUAUAUUGAAAGCAUACCCCCUCUCAAGAAAUGCUCAGUGAAAAAAAUAUACUUGAUCUAGAGUAAAUUUAAAGGUGUAGGGAAAAAUAUCAGCCUCUGGGAAACAGCAAAAACUGUGGGAAUUGUACUGAAUGUCACUUGAAUGGACCCUUGGGAUAGACAUUUCAGGGUGAAGAAUCUCCAUAAUUCAAAAACUUUAGAUCUUUGGGACUUAACACAGAUCUGAUACCCAUAUCAAAGCCUUAACCAACUCUCCUUAUGCUAAAAAAUUGAAUUAUGAUGAAGUAUAUUUAACUCUUUAGCUUUGGAAGUAGAGUGUAUCAAUAGAUAUCCCCUGGAUCAAAAGUGGGUCUCUGGAAAAGGCACUCCAGAGACUGGACAGUCUGGGUAGAGUUAGUUAGCAAGUAGGUUAUGGCAUUUCCCAGUGACACCUCAGUAGCCACUUACUGGACAUUUUCUUGUAUCCAGGAGAACCAUAGAAUGUUCUGUGAUGUACCCAGUGCUGUGAUGUCACUAACUGCCUGUGGACAAUAACCUCAGAACCUAUUGGGUUCACAAGCAGAAUGUUGUCCAGGCUGUUCAGUGUAUUUCUGACGGAGAAUCAAACACAUGCAAAGACCAGUCCAAGCCUUCUCUCGGGAUGUACAAAGAGAAGGAAGAAAUAGCCCUGGGAGUUUGUUCUGAAGACAUCAUCACAACCUUCCACUACCACUGAUGAGGAAAAGAGAAUGAAGUGUUUGGAGAAGUUAAAAAUUGUUCUCCACAAGAUUUAAAAUGAGAGAGGAACUCUAGGAAAUCCCUUCCCAUUAGCCACGCAAAGAUCUAAGUAACAGCUCUGACGACUCACAUUUUUUGUUGACAGUCCUGAGAUGUCUGUUCAGCCAAUAUUUCCUCACAUCACAGGAAACUACUAGUCCAGGGUAUCCUAAUCGUCAAAAUCAUUUUCCUGAUUCCAUCUUAAACACAGAAUGUUAAAUUCACAUAGGAUUGAGACGGGGGCCAAGGUAUUUUGAUUCCUCCAAGAGUAAAUCAUAUCCUUUGGCCUGAAUCACAAUCUGGGAAUAAGAAUAUAAGUGUGUGAGAUCUGAUUAUGUACUUUAAGAAGCCUGGACGGUUGUUGACUUGUGGAAAUUUUUGGGUGCUGUGUUUAUGACCAAUCAUUGUUGUAAUUGACAUUGAGGUGCUUUGGGUUCAAUUGGUGCUGUGAAUAGCUGGAGGAGCCUAAUCCCACUCUCUGCCUCUCAGUGUGUGACUGGAUUGGCAACAGGUUAUCAUUGGUUUUGUCUGAUUUUGUUCAUUGUAUUUGAAAUAAUGCCACAUCAUUGUAGUUUUGGCAUUCUAAGUGUGUUGUGCGUGUGUGCGUGUGCGUGUGUGUGUGUUUGUGUGUGUGUGUGUGUGUGUGUGAAUGUGUUUGUGUGUAUCCCUUAAGAUCUGAGAUUCUAUGACCUUGACUUGGCCUGAGAAUUAGCCUGACUCAAUGUCCAUGGCAUGAUAGUCAUCAGUCUGAGGGCCUCACUUUGAGCAGAACAGCAUUUGACCUCUGCUCACCUUGGAAGCACAUUGGAAUCUCUUGGUGUGUGUUAUAAAUUAUUUUCCCUGUAAAUACUGAUUAUGUUUCUUUGGUGUUUUGUGUAACAAUAGAUUCUACAAUUGAGAAUUCUUACCUAAGAAAAGGAGAAUAAUCUUCACAGGUUUAAGUUGGAGCCUGGACUGUGGCAGAGGUUCCUGAAAUCUUCUCGGCAAGCUAGUCUAUUCCUUCAAGAUCACACAGGGAGCUCAAGUCGAUCAGAUCCCUCCUUUUGUUUGCUGGCUCUGCUGUCCCUGUGUCCAUAAUAAUAAGCUUAAUCAGUACCAAAUGGAUCCAGUACCAAGGAGCAAGGAUGUGUCAUGUCCUAGGCUGGGGUUGUUCAGGAUCCAGUCAUAAUUCAUAUAAUCCUUGAAUCCUUAGUUCAGAAAGUUAUUUGAUCCUUGGACAAUGCCCUACAACAGAAUGAAUUUUGGGUCCAAAAUAUUCAUGAUGCAACACCAGCAAGUGAUGAUUGACCUACAGAAAAUGUGCUGACAGAUCAAUAAAAGGUGGUACAAAUCU